rnacentral:lncRNA from 1 species
AUUGUAACGUGUAGUACUAUUGGAUAAAAUAUUUUUUUUUUUUAAGAGAAAAAUAGUAUGCUACCUGUUUUAUUUAUUUCUUUUAGAAAUAAAUUUAGCUAGAAAUAUGAAUCAAGUCCUUUGCUACUUGCACCAAGGACAGUCGGUGAUAAAAUGUUGUUAAAAUAAGAGUUGAGCUGGAAUGCUAUCAGUAGCAAACAGUCUCUAUUGCCAACCAUUUGUUUUCGAUGAUGGAGCCUCCAACUCGACGAUCGGUAUCGUUGAACAUGAUCUAUAUUACUUGAAAUAUGUAGAAACAAACUUUCAAAUCUUUUCGAUAUUAUUGACCCAAUGAUCAAAAAAUUUCAAAAUUUAUAAUUUUAAUGGCCGAUGUAAGGCGUUUUUUUAUUUAAUGGUAUAAAGAUAUGCAAAUUAAUUGAAUUUUGGUUAAAAAAUUUCUUAAACUAUUUAGAACAAAAUCUAUACUCUUGAUUUUAAUUACAAGACUUCUACCAUCACUUCUUAAAGGAUAUUCAUUCUCAACCAUUCAUUUUUAUGUCCACUUAAUGGACAAGAGAAUAAUAUCUAAAAAAUAUAAAAUUUGGUUUUUAAAUACUUCUAGUAUAGAUAGAUCAUGUUCAACGGUGCGGAUCAUCAAUUUGGGGACUCCAUUAUUGAAAAUAAAUAGGUGGCAAUAUAGCUCGUUUGCUACUUAUAGCAUUCUAGUUCAACUUGUUAAAAUAGUACUAUU